GACGAACGCUGGCGGCGUGCUUAACACAUGCAAGUCGAACGGAAAGGCCUUUUCGGAGGUACUCGAGUGGCGAACGGGUGAGUAACACGUGGGUGAUCUGCCCUGCACUCUGGGAUAAGCCUGGGAAACUGGGUCUAAUACCGGAGAGGACCGCACUUUACUGUGUGUGGUGGAAAGUUUUUUCGGUGUACGAUGAGCCCGCGACCUAUCACCUUGUUGGUGGGGUAAUGGCCUACCAAGGCGGCGACGGGUAGCCGGACUGAGAGGUUGGUCGGGCACAUUGGGACUGAGAUACUGCCCACACUCCUACAGGAGGCAGCUGUGGGGAAUGUUGCACAAUGGGCGCGAGCCUGAUGUAGCUACACCGCGUGGGGGAUGACGGCCUUCGGGUUGGAAACUCCUUUCGCCAGCGACGAAGCGUCUUGUGACGGCACCUGGAGAAGACCCACCGGCUAUCUACGUGCCAUCAGCCGCGGUAAUACACUCGGCGCAAGCGUCGCUCGGAGAUUACUGCUACGGCAGAGCUCGCACGUGGUUUGUCACGUCGUCUGUGAAAUUCCACAGCUUAACUGUGAGCGUGCAGGCGAUACGGGCUGACUUGAGUACUGUAGGGGUAACUGGAAUUCCUGGUGUAGCGGUGAAAUGCGCAGAUAUCAGGAGGAACACCGAUGGCGAAGGCAGGUUACUGGGCAGUUACUGACGCUGAGGAGCGAAAGCAUGGGUAGCAAACAGGAUUAGAUACCCUGGUAGUCCAUGCCGUAAACGGUGGGCGCUAGGUGUAGGGGCCUUUUGGGGUUUCUGUGCCGUAGCUAACGCAUUAAGCGCCCCGCCUGGGGAGUACGGCCGCAAGGCUAAAACUCAAAGGAAUUGACGGGGGCCCGCACAAGCGGCGGAGCAUGUGGAUUAAUUCGAUGCAACGCGAAGAACCUUACCUGGGCUUGACAUACACCAGAUCGCUGCAGAGAUGUAGUUUCCCUUGUGGCUGGUGUACAGGUGGCGCAUGGCUGUCGUCAGCUCGUGUCGUGAGAUGUUGGGUUAAGUCCCGCAACGAGCGCAACCCUUGUCUUAUGUUGCCAGCACGUUAUGGUGGGGACUCAUGAGAGACUGCCGGGGUUAACUCGGAGGAAGGUGGGGACGACGUCAAGUCAUCAUGCCCCUUAUGUCCAGGGCUUCACACAUGCUACAAUGGCCGGUACAAUGCGCAGCGAGCCUGUGAGGGUGAGCUAAUCGCUUAAAGCUGGUCUUAGUUCGGAUUGGGGUCUGCAACUCGACCCCAUGAAGUCGGAGUCGCUAGUAAUCGCAGAUCAGCAAUGCUGCGGUGAAUACGUUCCCGGGCCC
rnacentral:rRNA from 1 species